AAUCGAAGCAGUGAACUUAAGCCCCAGUAAACGGCGGCCGUAACUAUAACGGUCCUAAGGUAGCGAAAUUCCUUGUCGGGUAAGUUCCGACCCGCACGAAAGGCGUAACGAUUUGGGCACUGUCUCAACAACAGACUCGGUGAAAUUGUAAUUCCGGUGAAGAUGCCGGAUACCUGCGACAGGACGGAAAGACCCCAUGGAGCUUUACUGUAGCUUGACAUUGGGUCUUGGUACUACAUGUACAGGAUAGGUGGGAGGCUUUGAAACCAGGACGCCAGUUUUGGCGGAGCCAUCCUUGGGAUACCACCCUUGUAGUACUGGGACUCUAACCAUAGGCCAUGAAUCUGGUCUUGGGACACUGUCAGGUGGGCAGUUUGACUGGGGCGGUCGCCUCCCAAAAGGUAACGGAGGCGCUCAAAGGUUCUCUCAGUACGGUCGGAAAUCGUACGUAGAGUGUAAAGGCAAAAGAGAGCUUGAUUGCAAGACAUACAGGUCGAGCAAGGAUGAAAAUCGGACUUAGUGAUCCGGUGGUUCUGCGUGGAAGGGCCAUCGCUCAACGGAUAAAAGCUACCCUGGGGAUAACAGGCUUAUCUCCCCCAAGAGUCCACAUCGACGGGGAGGUUUGGCACCUCGAUGUCGGCUCAUCACAUCCUGGGGCUGUAGUAGGUCCCAAGGGUUGGGCUGUUCGCCCAUUAAAGUGGUACGCGAGCUGGGUUCAGAACGUCGUGAGACAGUUCGGUCCCUAUCCGUCGCAGGCGUAGGAAAUUUGAGAAGACCUGUCCUUAGUACGAGAGGACCGGGAUGGACG
rnacentral:rRNA from 1 species